rnacentral:rRNA from 1 species
UGGGGAAUAUUUGACAAUGGGCGCAAGCCUGAUCCAGCCAUGCCGCGUGAGUGAUGAAGGCCCUAGGGUUGUAAAGCUCUUUCACCGGUGAAGAUAAUGACGGUAACCGGAGAAGAAGCCCCGGCUAACUUCGUGCCAGCAGCCGCGGUAAUACGAAGGGGGCUAGCGUUGUUCGGAUUUACUGGGCGUCAAGCGCCCGUAGGCGGACUUUUAAGUCAGGGGUGAAAUCCCGGGGCUCAACCCCGGAACUGCCUUUGAUACUGGAAGUCUUGGGUAUGGUAGAGGUGAGUGGAAUUCCGGGUGGAGAGGUGAAAUUCGGAGAUAUUCGGAGGAACACCAGUGGCGAAGGCGGCUCACUGGACCAUUACUGACGCUGAGGUGCGAAAGCGUGGGGAGCAAACAGG